GUGACCUGGACUUUUGAAUGGUGUCUGAAGUUGGGGCAGCCUUGUGGGAUAGAACCUUUAAACUGGUGGAAUCUGAUGGUAAUCCCAGAAAUGGAUCAAAUGGUUGAACAGCCAGCUGGUGUCACAGAAUGGCUUGGCCUCAGGAAAGAUCUCAGAGGAAUAUGAACAAAACCUGCAGUGCACAGAGAAACACGCCCACGCUCCCACAAGAGGUAGCCCUUCAACCUGGGGCCAGGAAUGAAACCGAUAUGGAGGAAAGUGGUGUGGACAAUGUGACAUGAGUG
rnacentral:lncRNA from 1 species